rnacentral:lncRNA from 1 species
GAGGCCCACCUGGUGGAUCUACGGAGCUGGCAGGGGUUCUAGUCCCGAGCAGCUCUCUUCUUCAGGCUCCCACUGCUUAUCUUUAAUGGCAUUUCCACAUGACCCUGGAGCCGGACUCUGACGUUUCGCUUGAAUGUGUGAUUUGAACAGAGCACUUCUCUCUGGCUCAUUUUCCUGAUCUGCGGAAUGAAGACUUCAUCAGGGUCUACUUCACAGGGCUAUGGUGAGGAUUGAAUGAACGAACACAGUCCACCCCUAGGAAAAAGGAUGGAAAAAGGAGCCUCUUCACACGGUGGGUUAUCUGGGUAGAGAAAGAAGAAAGGGCACACGAUCCCGUCACAGUUUACUCAUCUUGACAUGAUCUAUGUGUGCGAAGAGCUGUUAGGAGUAAACUCAAAACUCAGCUAAAUCUUAAUGGAAGUCAUUUCCAAUAGAUCCUUCGACUGAACGGAAUGAAUUGUAUGGAGACAUUUCUCUGCUAUGGUGAAAAGCAUCCCACGUGGACCACACGCUCCAUGUUUCCUGCUCCUUGAUGGCUGGUGUGUUUAUGGGGUGGAGAUUAAAAGCCCUGUGUGGUGGGUGGAGAUUGAGGAGAUGGGGAAGAAAUAUGCUGGCAGAUGCUAUGAGGGCAUAUAACCGGGCCUGGAUCACGUGAGGUUGAGUAGGGGAAGGUCAGGGAAGAAUUGUCAGAGGAGAGGAUGUUUGAGCUGAGAUUUUGAAAUUAAUAGGCAUUACGUAGGCAAGAAGGUAGUAUGGCGGGGAGCGCAGGAGGAAAAGCAUUCUAGGCAGAAGGAAAAUUGGGUUCUGGGUUCUUAUCUUACCUCUACCACCAUGGAGACCCAUCUCCUCUCUGUGCCUCAGUUUCCUCAAAUGUAAUGCAAGGGGUUGGAUUAGAUGAUUUCCUAAGUGCUAUCCAGGAGGUAAUUCUGUCUGCUCCCGUGGAGCCCUCUUUUUCUUCCCCUCCCCAUCCUGUGCCCUUCUUGUCCCACGAAGUUCAUUUCCCUCUCCCCUUUUCUUUGACC